rnacentral:sRNA from 1 species
CGCUGAUGCGCAUCCUGGUCAUCGGGCUGUCCCGGGAGCUCCCGCUCGGGCCCGCGGACGCCAUGGAGCUUGCCGACCACCUGGUGAAGCGGGCUGCUGCUGUGCAGGCGGAUGAUGUGGAGGUGCUGAAGGUGGGGAGGACCCAGCUGAUCGACGCCGUUCUGAACCUGUGCACCUACCAUCACCCUGAAAACAUCCAGCUCCCACCGGGGUACCAGCCUCCGAACCUCGCCAUCUCUACCCUCUACUGGAAGGCCUGGCCCCUCCUGCUGGUCGUCGCCGCAUUCAACCCAGAGAACAUCGGCCUGGCCGCGUGGGAGGAAUACCCGACCCUGAAGAUGCUCAUGGAGAUGGUGAUGACCAACAACUACUCCUACCCGCCGUGCACCCUGACGGAUGAGGAGACCCGGACGGAGAUGCUGAACCGUGAGCUGCAGACCGCCCAGCGGGAGAAGCAGGAGAUCCUGGCCUUCGAGGGGCACCUGGCGGCCGCGUCCACCAAGCAGACCAUCACUGAGAGCAGCAGCCUCCUCCUGUCGCAGCUCACCAGCCUGGACCCCCAGGGGCCCCCCCGGAGGCCUCCCCCUCACAUCCUGGAUCAAGUGAAAAGCCUCAACCAGUCCCUCCGCCUCGGGCACCUCUUGUGCCGCAGCCGAAACCCUGACUUCCUCCUGCACAUCAUCCAGCGGCAGGCGUCCUCGCAGUCCAUGCCCUGGCUGGCGGACCUGGUACAGUCCAGCGAGGGCUCCCUGGACGUGCUGCCCGUGCAGUGUCUGUGCGAGUUCCUGCUGCACGAUGCUGUGGACGAUGCUGCUUCCGGGGAGGAGGAGGACGAGGGCGAGAGCAAGGAGCAGAAGGCCAAGAAGCGGCAGAGGCAGCAGAAGCAGCGGCAGCUGCUGGGCCGCCUGCAGGACCUGCUACUGGGCCCGAAGGCUGAUGAGCAGACCACGUGUGAGGUGCUGGACUACUUCCUGCGGCGCCUCGGCUCCUCCCAGGUGGCCUCCCGCGUGCUGGCCAUGAAGGGUUUGUCGCUGGUGCUUUCGGAGGGCAGCCUGCGGGACGGGGAGGAGAAGGAGCCCCCCAUGGAGGAGGAUGCGGGGGACACAGAUGUGCUGCAGGGCUAUCAGUGGCUGCUGCGGGACCUGCCCCGCCUGCCUCUGUUCGACAGCGUCAGGAGCACCACAGCCCUGGCCCUGCAGCAGGCAAUACACAUGGAGACUGAUCCCCAGACCAUCAGCGCCUACCUGAUCUACUUGUCCCAGCACACGCCUGUGGAGGAGCAGGCCCAGCACAGCGACCUGGCCCUGGACGUGGCCCGGCUGGUCGUGGAGCGCUCCACCAUCAUGUCCCACCUCUUCUCGAAGCUCUCCCCGAGUGCCGCGUCGGACGCCGUGCUGAGCGCUCUGCUGUCCAUCUUCUCACGCUACGUGAGGCGCAUGCGGCAGAGCAAGGAGGGCGAGGAGGUCUACAGCUGGUCGGAGUCUCAGGACCAGGUCUUCCUACGCUGGAGCAGUGGGGAGACAGCCACCAUGCACAUCCUCGUGGUCCAUGCCAUGGUGAUCCUGCUGACGCUGGGCCCGCCGCGAGGUGAGCCGCCACAGGCCCCGGGAGGGGCAGCUUCGUGCCAGGCGGGCCACGGCCCUGACCACACCCAGCGGCUUCCGCGUCCUUGCCUUGCUUCUGGGCGGGAAGCCCCCCAGCCCUUCCACCCUGUGUCCUGGCUUCUCUCCUAAAGAGGAGGCUGCAGUCCCUCCCGCGUGUCUCUGAGCACUUGGUGGACGUGUGGGAGAUCCCCACGUGGUGGGACCUCCCAGCCUGUAGAGCCCUGAGCUGGAGGGCCUGGUACAGCCUGGGGUCAGAGUCCUCACUGCCCCAGCCUAACCGUGCAGGCCUGCGGUGCCUGGGAGGCGGCAAACUCGGGAUUUCACCGUGUGGAGGUGCGACAUGAGGCUGCCAGGCAAGUGGGUCCUCUCCCCGGGGCCCAGGCGAGUGACCCUGAGGACGCUCUGGCCAGCGCAGUGUCUGGAACCCGGCGCCUACCCAGCUGUGCCCUCUGCGGCCGCAGCCUUCCCCUUUACUCCUGGCUGACACCAGGAACUGCUCCCGCGUUCACCCCGUUGUGUCUGUCAGUGGGGGAAGGGGGCGGAACCCUCAUGCUGGGGUUCGGGUGGACGUGGGUGGGUGGUGACCCCUGUUGGGAGGCAGAUGCAGUCACAGGCGUUGCCCCUGGGAAGGGCAGCCAGGGAAGCUGGCCCUGUGUGGGCCUGGGCCUGUGGGGUUUCCCAGUGGCUUUGUGGAACCAGAGAGCUGGAUGGGACCUGGUUCAGCCAAGCAAAGCCCCGAGGGCAGGGGCUGGACAGGGACACGCACACGUCCCCUUGGCCACAACAAAAUGGCAGUGAUGCUGCUUGCCUUCCUGCGGCAUCUGUGAGGAUCAAAUGCGUGCACCUAUGCAAAGCGUCCGCACAUAGCAAGUGCUCACCUAGCAUGGGAGCCCUGUGCUCCUCCCAAGUCUCAGUUUCCCCCUCGGGAGAGGAGGUGCCUCUAGCCUUGGCACCAGCGGUGCUUGGGGCUGGGCUCCAGCGGGUCUGAAGGCGGCUCACCCGUUGUCCUUCCUGAAGCUGACGACAGCGAGUUCCAGGCGCUGCUGGACAUCUGGUUUCCGGAGGAGAAGCCACUGCCCACCGCCUUCCUGGUGGACACGUCGGAGGAGGCGCUGCUGCUUCCUGACUGGCUGAAGCUGCGCAUGAUCCGUUCUGAGGUGCUCCGCCUGGUGGACGCCGGUACGGCCCAGGCUGGGCUCGGGCGGGGGCUGCUGACUCAGGGGUCCCGGGCCCCUUGCCUGCUCCUUGUGGGCCUGGGCAGCCUCCGGCUGUGGCAGAGGAGAAGACUGGCCGGGUAGCCUCAGGGGAUCCUGCAGACCAUAUGUCCUGGCCACAGCAGGCUGUGCUGGACCCUGGGAGGAGACCUAGGGCAGCCUGUGCUGGCCCCAUCCGAGAGGGUCUUACUGUCAGGCUCAGGGGUCUAGAGUGAGAAACAGGUCCUGGAUGG